UACGAAGGGGGCUAGCGUUGUUCGGAAUCACUGGGCGUAAAGGGCGCGUAGGCGGCGCGACAAGUCAGGCGUGAAAGCCCCGGGCUCAACCCGGGAAUUGCGCUUGAUACUGUCGUGCUUGAGGCCGGGAGAGGAUGGCGGAAUUCCCAGUGUAGAGGUGAAAUUCGUAGAUAUUGGGAAGAACACCGAUGGCGAAGGCAGCUCGCUGGGACGGUACUGACGCUGAGGCGCGAAAGCGUGGGGAGCAAACAGG
rnacentral:rRNA from 1 species